GACGAACGCUGGCGGCGUGCUUAACACAUGCAAGUCGAACGGAAAGGCCCUGCUUUUGUGGGGUGCUCGAGUGGCGAACGGGUGAGUAACACGUGAGUAACCUGCCCUUGACUUUGGGAUAACUUCAGGAAACUGGGGCUAAUACCGGAUAGGAGCUCCUGCUGCAUGGUGGGGGUUGGAAAGUUUCGGCGGUUGGGGAUGGACUCGCGGCUUAUCAGCUUGUGGGUGGGGUAGUGGCUUACCAAGGCUUUGACGGGUAGCCGGCCUGGGAGGGUGACCGGCCACAUUGGGACUGCGAUACGGCCCAGACUCCUACGGGAGGCAGCAGUGGGGAAUAUUGCACAAUGGGCGGAAGCCUGAUGCAGCAACGCCGCGUGCGGGAUGACGGCCUUCGGGUUGUAAACCGCUUUCGCCUGUGACGAAGCGUGAGUGACGGUAAUGGGUAAAGAAGCACCGGCUAACUACGUG
rnacentral:rRNA from 1 species